rnacentral:rRNA from 1 species
ACGGAGGGUGCAAGCGUUGUUCGGAAUUAUUGGGCGUAAAGGGCGCGUAGGCGGUUAUGUAAGUCAGUUGUGAAAUACUUUGGCUCAACUGAAGAACUGCAUCUGAUACUGCAUAACUAGAGUACGGGAGAGGGAAACGGAAUUCCCGGUGUAGAGGUGAAAUUCGUAGAUAUCGGGAGGAACACCAGUGGCGAAGGCGGUUUCCUGGCCUGGUACUGACGCUGAGGCGCGAAAGCGUGGGGAGCAAACAG